rnacentral:rRNA from 1 species
UACAUGGGGUGCAAACGUUGCUCGGAAUUAUUGGGCGUAAAGCGCACGUAGGCGGUUCGUUAAGUCGGAUGUGAAAGCCCUCGGCUCAACUGAGGAAGUGCACCCGAAACUGGCGAGCUUGAGUACGAAAGAGGAUCGCGGAAUUCCCGGUGUAGAGGUGAAAUUCGUAGAUAUCAGGUGGAACACCAGUGGCGAAGGCGGCUUCUGGACGGUAACUGACGCUGGAGAACGGCGAAAGCGUGGGGAGCAAACAGG